rnacentral:tRNA from 1 species
AGAAACUUAGGAUAACAAUUAAACCGAAGGCCUUCAAAGCCUUAAAUAAGAGAUAAAACCUCUUAGUUUCUG